rnacentral:rRNA from 1 species
UGAGUAACCUGCCCUUAACUCUGGGAUAAGCCUGGGAAACUGGGUCUAAUACCGGAUAUGACUCCUCAUCGCAUGGUGGGGGGUGGAAAACUUUAUUGUGGUUUUGGAUGGACUCGCGGCCUAUCAGCUUGUUGGUGAGGUAAUGGCUCACCAAGGCGACGACGGGUAGCCGGCCUGAGAGGGUGACCGGCCACACUGGGACUGAGACACGGCCCAGACUCCUACGGGAGGCAG